rnacentral:rRNA from 1 species
GACGAACGCUGGCGGCGUGCUUAACACAUGCAAGUCGAACGGAAAGGCCCUGCUUUUGUGGGGUGCUCGAGUGGCGAACGGGUGAGUAACACGUGAGUAACCUGCCCUUGACUUUGGGAUAACUUCAGGAAACUGGGGCUAAUACCGGAUAGGAGCUCCUGCUGCAUGGUGGGGGUUGGAAAGUUUCGGCGGUUGGGGAUGGACUCGCGGCUUAUCAGCUUGUUGGUGGGGUAGUGGCUUACCAAGGCUUUGACGGGUAGCCGGCCUGAGAGGGUGACCGGCCACAUUGGGACUGAGAUACGGACCAGAAUCCUACGGGAGGCAGCAGUGGGGAAUAUUGCACAAUGGGCGGGAGCCUGAUGCAGCAACGCCGCGUGCGGGAUGACGGCCUUCGGGUUGUAAACCGCUUUCGCCUGUGACGAAGCGUGAGUGACGGUAAUGGGCAAAGAAGCACCGGCUAACUACGUG